rnacentral:misc_RNA from 1 species
GAUGAAGAACGCAGCGAAAUGCGAUAAGUAAUGCGAAUUGCAGAAUUCAGUGAAUCAUCGAAUCUUUGAACGCACAUUGCGCCCGCCAGUAUUCUGGCGGGCAUGCCUGUUCGAGCGUCAUUUCAACCAUCAAGCCCCCGGGCUUGUGUUGGGGACCUGCGGCUGCCGCAGGCCCUGAAAAGCAGUGGCGGGCUCGCUGUCACACCGAGCGUAGUAGAUUUUAUCUCGCUCUGGGCGUGCUGCGGGUUCCGGCCGUUAAACCACCCUUUUAACCCAAGGUUGACCUCGGAUCAGGUAGGAAGACCCGCUGAACUUAAGCAUAUCAAUAAGCGGAGGA